rnacentral:miRNA from 1 species
GAAGCCAGGAAAGCAAGGGGGAUCAGUGUGCACCGAUCCCUCUUGCUCUCCUGGCUUU